GGCUGGGAGGGGGGGGCAGUCAGCCCUUAAAUGGGGUCUGGGAGAGCUGUAGCCAGGCUCCACCUUCCAUUCACACACUGGAUUGCCUCCACCUGUGCUCCCACAGCUGAUUCAGUGCUGCCUCAGCUGAUCAAUCAGUGGUUCAGGACGUGACUCAGCAGUUCCCAUUCACCUGGGGAGGCGUAGCCCUGCGAGCACAGCUGAUGGCAAUUCGGCUGUGGGGUGGGGCUGAGCUGGGCUCCUCCCCUCCCCAGACCCCAUUUAAGGGCUGGGAAGUGAAGGGGGCAGCAUCUGAACUUGGGAGUGCUUCCUUGAGGGUCUGAGGUGAGCCCUUUUGUAUGGGAGGGCUGUGAUCUUCUACUUUCUUGGGGGAUCCUGGCUACAUUUUGAGGCUGGCAACCAUCUGUACCUGGAAACUGCUUCUUUUGGGGUGUGGGUGAGUAUUGGCCCUUAGAAUGGGGUAAGUGGUUCUUUUUGAAUUUCAGGGUUGUGAGCUCUUCUUUUUGGGGGGUCUUGACCGUAUUUAAGGGCUGGUAGCCAUGAGGACAGUAUCUGAAUGUGGAGUCUGCUUCCUUUAGGGUUUGGGGGGAGCCCCUAAAUGGGGUGAGAGAUCCCUGCUUUAGUGCAGCAUUGUGUGCUCUGCCUUUCUGGGGAGAUCCCAAGUUGAAGUAGAGCAGCUGUAUCUGCUGUGUUUGUCCUUAUGGUGCCUUCAGUCUUACCCUAAGGGAGAUGAAGGGGUUUUCUCCCAUUCCCUGAGCUGCUGAUGGAAGGACUGAUGUCCAUUCCUUCCUUUCAAAGCUCCUUUGCUUCUGGAAUGCUUCAAUCAGCCCUAAUAAUGCUGGUUGGCUGUUUGAGCCCUGCAGUUCUGGGCAUGCUGACAGUUAAUGCCCUAUUCCGUUCAGGGGUUCUGCGUUCUGCAGGUCCUGUUUGCAGCCCUUUUUAAGCCCAUUUCCCUCUGGUUGAGUCACUGCUUUCUCUUUCAUGGUUGUCACCUCAUAAUCUCCGAUCUGGAGCUCCAAACGUGGUUUGUCUUCUCCCACAUCAUUCCAUCUUAUGGCUGUAAUUCACAGUGCCGUGUGUUAAUUGCACCCAUGCAGAGUUGUUUAAGGGCAUUCUGGGCAUCAUUAUUGUGUUUUAAAUCAUGUUCUCUCUUCUGAUCUCAGUUUGCAACUUGGUGGGGUUUAAAGAUUGUUGGCGCUCCUCUAAUCCGUGGUGUGAGGCCUGUGGAGCUGGUAAUGGAACAUCACAACUACACUAACUACCCCACGGUCUUACGGUCAUUUCUGUUUCACCAGCAGAUCUGGGUUUGUGUUAAGAAAAAAGAAAGGGUUAACCUCUUCUGGAUGACUAUGGUCAGGAUCUCCAGAUAUCUCAUCCCAGUUGUCAGGAGAUGUUAUUUGUUUCCUAAUCUGUAUGAUACCCAAACCCCCACGCUUCUUCCUCCCAUCCCCUGACCCCCAUUAAGUAACUUAUAAACAACAUUAAUUAUAUCCCUAAUACUCCUUUGCAUCACCUGUAGAACAAUGCACACAGGGUGCAGCCGUACAUAUGCGGGGCAGCACCUUCAUUACUGCAUUGUGUCUAACAGGUGGCAGCAGAAAGCCGUGAUGCUCCCGAGUGCUGUAAGGACUGCAUGGAGAGAUGUGCGGGUCUUCACGGGAACAUCAAGGAACCGAAAGCUGCAUUUCCUGGGAUGCCCUGGAACCCCGCUUUGCUGACUGGUAAUUGUCUGCCCAGCAGGUAAGGACAAUGCACACCCACCAGUGUUUACCCCUUACUGAGUGAGACACAAGGUGGAGUUCCCAGAGCUCCUUUCUGCACUUCAGGGUGCCCCAAAGGCUGCCUGUCCUAUUCUUUGCACGUUCUCCUUGGCUCUGGCCUUUCACAGUGGUGUUCUCCUUCCCUUUGCCCUUGGCGCUCCCUACUGCAUUCUCUUGCCCUCCUGUUUUUGCAUUCCAUGUCAUGUUUUCUUGGCCAUUGCCCUUGGC
ensembl:lncRNA